GUGGCCAAGGCGAUCGGCUACCCGGGCGCCUCCGACGCGCUGGACGCCGCGGUGUCGCCGCGCGGGUUCCGCCUGCUGGCCAAG
rnacentral:tRNA from 1 species